GCCUCCUUAGCUCAGUGGUAGAGCGGCUUCCUCGUAAGAAGCAGGCCGUCGGUUCGAUCCCGACAGGAGGCUCAA
rnacentral:tRNA from 1 species